UUUUCAGAAUAAAGUUUAUUUAUAUUUAUUUCAUUGUGCCCACAAGCUUUAUUUACUGUUACUAAUUGUAUAUUUUUAUUUUAAAAUAACAAAUCAUUUGAACCUUAUGAAGUUUUUGAAUUUUUUAAAUUUUUUGAAUUUUUUGAACCUUUUGAAUUUUUUGAAGGAAGUUAAAUUGUAUAAUAUCUUUCAGAAACUUUUAGGGAUGUUUAUCAAUGUUUUUUGAAUACUGAGGUUUGUAACUGCAAUUUGAAUUGCAAAGCAAUGAAGCUUGUGUGAUGGCAAUAUUUAACUCUUAUCAGAAAAAAAAUUACAAAAAUUAAUAUAAGAGAAAUUUUUGAUAAUCUCGCAACAUUAUUUUCAGAUGAUAAAUAAAUCUAAAUUUUAUUUGGAAAAGAAGUAGAAUGCAACAUUCAAAUAGUGACUUUAAGAUCAAAUCUAUCUAUCUGUCAAGUAAUUGUAAAGUUAAAGCAAUGCUACAGCCGAGCCCAUAUCUCAAUCUCUCUGAAUAUGUAUCUGUCAAAGAUCAAUCUACAAAUUUGUGACAUUUUCUGUAUUUCUUUUUGUUAAGGAUGUACCUUAUUUGCUAUCUAUUAUUUUUUUCAAAUAAAACUCCUAAUAAUUA